UUUCCGUAGGUGAACCUGCGGAAGGAUCAUUAACGAGUUAGGGUCUUCCAGGCCCGACCUCCCAACCCUAUGUUUAUUGAACCUCUGUUGCUUCGGCGGACCCGUCUCACGACCGCCGGAGGACCGCCGCGAGGCGUCCUCUGGCCAGCGUCCGCCGAUGGCCAACCACUUAACUCUGAAUGAAUCGUGUCAUUAUGUCUAAGUCUAUGAUUAAAUUAAAGCAAAACUUUCAGCAACGGAUCUCUUGGUUCUG
rnacentral:misc_RNA from 1 species